CUGCUUUUCAUCAUCUCCCCAUAUGGAAUUUAGGGAGCACCAUGCCAAAAUGGACCAGAACUCAGCAUUCGCGUGCUUUCUGGCAGAGACAACUUAUCUGGCAAGAACAACAGUGCGAAAUGAAGAUAAAUGAAGAAUAUGGGCACAUGAAUCCUAAGAAGUAGGCUGGGUCAGCCUUAUUCAGAGGAAGGUUUUAAGGGACAGGACCAGCUGUAAAGUCCAAUUAAGACAGUGCACCCAAGUAUCAUCAGGGCUGACUCUGAGGCCCUCGGUUCAGGUCUGAGCCCAGACUGCGCUUGUCAGUGAGGAGAGUUACCGACCCAGCACCACCUGAAGAUCUCUGAGGAGCAAGGUUGCUUGUAUCCAUCAGCUUGUUCCUGAAACUGUCAGAAAUAGCUUCUGCAAUGUUUCUACUUCACAGCCUGGUGAGUCCUGACCUGGGCAGAGCAGUCACUGAUGAACCAAAAGAAGGCCAUUUCAGAGAUGUGGGGAGCUGAGUGUGCUGGUAGGAUGCUCAUUACAGUGACUGCCUGAGAGGGUUCUUGGCAUUUGACAGGAUGUGCCCCAGUAAAUUCCCUGACAUUAACAGAUCCCGCUCCCUAGCUUUUCCUUCGUUGUAUUCUGUAUUUGGUAGUGUUCGAUGCUAUGCAUAGGCACCUGAAGCAGUGGCUCGUGUGAGGUUUGAACCAGCAGAGAUCAGAGCAGCAUUUCAAAGUCUUUUCAGAUUCCCUGUUGCAGCUUGUUCCAUCUCCUCUGGACCUGCUUCCUGCCUGAAAUGCCGGAAAGAAGUUCUCUGAAUCUCUGAUCGCACAUUCUGUUUCCCCCAGUGGUGCCUAGUAGAAGAAAUCUUGUCUCUUGGAUAUCCAACUCAAAAGCCAAAGUGAGAGAGAAAAUAACAGUUGCUUUAAAUAAUGAACGAAAGUGCCAGGAGAUUUAAUUUCCCCCACCUUCCUCCCUCCCCCCAUGUAGAUAUUCUCUUCUUUAAAAACAAUUUUACAAAGUGAGCUUCAUGCUGGAUCGACAGCCCUGCAAAGCAGUGUUCUCUGUUCGCAUACCAAAUGGGAAUAACUAAUGCGUGGGAGUGCAGGCUUCCACUCAGCGCUAGCAGCAUGUCUUGGACUUUGUUGCAUAUUUGUGAAGGUCUUGGGUUAUCUCCCUGGUCCAUUCAGUGACAAAAUCCGGUGAUCUUCUGAAGAGUAAGAACAAGAGGAGAGAUGGUCAUUUAUUCACUGAUUUCUAAGGGUGCAAUAAAAGAUCAAUAAAUAAUUUCACUACAGUAACGAAAAAGAGUUUGCAUGAUGAAAUGUAUCUUGCUGCUUCUG